rnacentral:rRNA from 1 species
GGAAUUUUGGACAAUGGGCGCAAGCCUGAUCCAGCAAUGCCGCGUGAGUGAAGAAGGCCUUCGGGUUGUAAAGCUCUUUUGUCAGGGAAGAAACGGAUUUUUCUAAUACAGAGAUCUAAUGACGGUACCUGAAGAAUAAGCACCGGCUAACUACGUGCCAGCAGCCGCGGUAAUACGUAGGGUGCAAGCGUUAAUCGGAAUUACUGGGCGUAAAGCGUGCGCAGGCGGUUUUGUAAGACUGUCGUGAAAUCCCCGGGCUCAACCUGGGAAUGGCGAUGGUGACUGCAAGGCUAGAGUUUGGCAGAGGGGGGUAGAAUUCCACGUGUAGCAGUGAAAUGCGUAGAUAUGUGGAGGAACACCGAUGGCGAAGGCAGCCCCCUGGGUCAAAACUGACGCUCAUGCACGAAAGCGUGGGGAGCAAACAGGAUUAGAUACCCUGG